rnacentral:rRNA from 1 species
GCUGACGAGUGGCGGACGGGUGAGUAAUGUCUGGGAAACUGCCUGAUGGAGGGGGAUAACUACUGGAAACGGUAGCUAAUACCGCAUAACGUCGCAAGACCAAAGAGGGGGACCUUCGGGCCUCUUGCCAUCGGAUGUGCCCAGAUGGGAUUAGCUUGUAGGUGGGGUAACGGCUCACCUAGGCGACGAUCCCUAGCUGGUCUGAGAGGAUGACCAGCCACACUGGAACUGAGACACGGUCCCGACUCCUACGGGAGGCAGCAGUGGGGAAUAUUGCACAAUGGCCGGACGCAUC